CUUUGGGAGGUGAUUAAUGUCCUUAAAAAAGAGGCUGCAGAGAACAUUUGUCUUUUUUUUUUUUUUUUUUUUUUUUUUUUUGCCUUUCCACUCUUCCACCUUGUGAGGACACAGCAACAAGCUGCCCUCUUGGAAGCAGAAAGCAGCUCUCACCAGACAUCAAAUCUGCCAGCACAUUGAUCUUGGACUUCCCACCCUUCAGAACUCUACAUAACUGGAGCCUCAGCUCUUCACUGACUGUCCUCAGGUUCCAGGGGCCACCUGCAGUUCCUUGCCACAUGGAUUUCUCCAGCAUAGCUGUGUACUUCAUCAAGGCACAAGGAGAGUCUCCAGUCUACCAGAGCCCUAUGUAAUGUAACAUAAUCAACAAAGUGACGUCCCAUUCAUAUUCAAUUGGUCAGAAGCAAGUUACAGUCCCCACCCAGGUCAGAGGGAGGAGAUAUGACAAAGAAGUAAACAUCAGGAGGCUGGGACAAUGGGGAUACUUAAGGUCCAUCCUGCUACAACUUCCACAAUGGCGUCUUGACCAUGAGGGCUCCACAGACACUGAAGCGGUCACCCAGGCUGCAAGUCUUGGAGGCAUUCUCUAGGAAUCACAGUCCCAUUCUUCUGCAGGCAAACGGAGUCGCCAUAUGACCCAGCCCUGGUCUUGCUUGGCUUUCUGGAUGUUCUCAACCUUGACAUGACUCCUUAUUCUCCAAUUCAUUUGGACCUCAAGACACUACUACUCUGGCUACAGCCGCCAGGCAUUAAAAAGAUGACACAGAAAAAUUACAGAGUCAGCAUAUAUUUGAAUACUGGAUAAAAGGGAAGAGGAUGAAAUGGAUUUUUCAAAGCUUCUAAAGAAAACAGAACUAGCUGUGUAGCAGACUCCUCUUAUAAACCUCUGCGAAGUUCUACUUGAAAAGCUGUGGUUUCAUUUCAAAGGAAACCAGCAAUCAGGGGGAUCUCUACAGGAAAAUCUCUUCCCUAUGUCUUCUUUAGACUCUUCAAAAAGGAGAGAGAGCACAAAAAAAGAAAAUACACAAGUAAAUAGGUUCAAGUACAUCAAGAAUCACAGUUUCUAAAAAGGCUAGUGAAAGGUCAAUGACUUCAGAGUCAAGAAAUCCAUUUCUAAUGUUUCUUCAGCUGUGACUCAUUGUGAAAUGUUGAGGAGGGUCACAGAAGCCUCCAGCCCUCGGUUUCCCCAGCUGUAAAACAAAUAUUUGAAUAAGUGGCCAGUCCACAUUAUAGCUGAUGUGCUUUCAGGGACUCAAAAUGAGAAUCAUAAAUAUGUAAAAAUACAAAGAUAAGGUGUUCCCUGUAGAAAAACACUAAACUAGCAGAAAAAGAAACAUCACAUUUGUGUGCUAAUUGGGUAUUCCAGAUUAAAGUAAUUUGUUAAAAAUUAUUGGAAGAAAAAUCCAUAAUUUGGCAAUAAAAAGGAUUUCCGUAAGAAGAGACAGACAAGAUCAUAACAGAUUCAGUGACUCUAGGUUACUCAGCCAAAUUAAAAUGCUCUCCUUUCAUCCUCGAAGGGAAAUCCUUGAGAAGUUUGUGGACCGUCACCAUCUGUUCAGCAAAACAUGCAUCAACAUAAUAUUUUCCACAUGUUUUUUGUUUUCUUUUUAAUUUUGCAAACGGAGAUUAAUCUUUUCCUAGUCAGAAUGUUUUACUAUAACCAUUGUCAGAGGAAAUAAGUGGAAACUCGGUUUUGAUCCCACUUCUCUCCCUACCCACUCGCCACCAUUUGCGUUUUCUAUGGUGAUGUGUGGAUUAAAGCUGAGGAGAAACUAAUAAUUCACAUCCUUUGCAGAUCAUGACAAGUCUGUAUUUCAUAAAACUGGAGAAAUCCUGCUCUGAAGCUCAUUUUUCAUGCAGCUACAAAAUCAUCUCUUUCUUCUCAUCAGAACUCCAUAGUGACAUCCAUCAAUAGCUGGAUCAAGGCCAAGAGUGCCAUAACCACCUACGGAUUCACUCUUCGCUGUGCCAUGCCAGUCAACUAUGCCCUUCCCUACUAUCCUUCUUCCACCACCAUUCCUCUGACUGUCAGGCUCAGCAAACAGCUUGCAGUUGGUCAAUGAGUGCUUACCAAGCCCCGGCUCUGUGCCCAGCAUCAUGCAAAGCAUAAAUGGACAUGGACAACAGUCUUAAACUACUUCCUACCCACAAGCAGCUCACAAACUUGUUGGGAAGAAAGUAGAACAAGGAGAGGAAAAGACAGUAAAAGCACCCACUGUGACAUGGUAAAAAUGAUGUUGACAACAAUAAUGAUGGUGCUGGGAUCUAACUCCUCUAUUUUGCCUGUAACUUGUCUUCCGAGUUUCUACACAUUGGUUGGCCAGAGGAAAAUUAACUUUGAAUUCCAUCUAGUCAAAAGUUUAGUAUGGUCCAAUAAUUAUAGUAGUCCCUUUAAGAAAUGCUCAGCUGUACAAUACUCAUUUUCCAAAAAGCUUAAAUCUUAGAAAACAGUUCCCUUGUCCAUUUAGGUGGGUUUGUGUAAUGCUGAUCAAAGUCUGGUCCAUCUAGGACCUCUGAUAAUAUUACUGUCACUCCCAAAGCUAGGUUUAUUUCCACCUGGUUGCAAUACUCAUAAAGAAAGAAAACCACUAAGUGAUGUGUUAAUAACAGGUAUGUAUAGAAAGCACCACUGUUAUUUUAAACAAGUAAAAUGAAACCCAAAAAGUUUGGCAAUACAAGAAGUGCUAUGGGCUAAACUGUGUCCUCACAAAAAUUCAUAUAUUGAAGCCCUAAUGUCCAGUACCUCAGAAUGUGACCGUAUUCGGAGAUAGGGCUUUAAAGAGGCGAUGAAGUUAAAACAAAGUCAUUGAGGUGAGGCUCUAAUUCAACGACUGAUAUCCUUAUAAGAAGAGGAAAUCUGGACAUAGAUGGGCCCAGAGGAAAGAUCACAUUAAGACAGAAAAAGAAGAUGGCCGCCUACAAGCCUAAGAGAGAAGCCUCGGGAGAAACCAACCCUGAUGACAACUUGAUCUCAGAUGGCUGGCCUUUAAAAUUGUGAGAAACUAAGUUUUUGUUGUUUAAGGCACCCAGUCUGUGGUACUUUGUUAUGGCAACCCUAACAAGCUAAUACAAUAACCAAUCUCUAAAAAACAUCUCUCUGUGAAUGAUACAAGAAUCCAGGGUUCUGUUUUUCUCACUGACAUUUUUGCUGUUUUAAUACUAAAAUGGUGUCUGGCAUAAAAAAUGUUUGAUAAUGUUUGUUGAAUUAAUAAGUAGAUAUUAUCUUUGCUGUUAAUUCAUGAUACAAUUUUAAUACAUUUUACCAACCUAAAUAGAAAAUCAAACUGAAAAAGUAACUUCCUCAUUAAACAAACACAAAAAAAUUCUAAAUUUACAUGCUAGGUAAUUUCUAACAAUAAUUUUUUAAAAGGAUUUUAUCUUAAUUUUCAUUUAUGUUUCUAUAGCCAGAGUCUUCCCAAGAUUCAAUACUUUGUUUGGUUUCCUAUCAUCUCAAUGAUCUCUUCCAAAUCCUGCUGAAGUUGUUAGAAGUAAAAUUAUCUCCAUCUUAUAAAUGGGAAAAGUAAACUGGCAAGUCAAAGAAUUUUCUAGAGAAUAGGCCCACAGAGAAGGCUGUUAAACCAGGAUGGAGAGAUUUAAACACAUACACCUAGGGGAGGCAGAGAAGAGACGGGAACAUGAGGUGGCCUGAAAAUGAGCACAGUAUUUGAAGGUCUCCCAACAUGAGUUUGAUCACAUUUAAAGCCCACCAAUUUAGAGCUUUUUCAAACUCCAUUCAAAGGGGGUUUUCCUGACGUAUCUGCAAAACCUAAUAAGAAGGCCCUGUCCUCUGUGUAAGCAGCUUUUCAUACAUGCAUAUAUUCAUUUAUUGAUUCAUUCAGUAACUACUUAUUGAGCAUCUACUAUGUGAAAGGCAUUCCUAUCAGCCCUGGAGAUGCAAUCGUGAGUAAAACAGACAGAAAUGUCCCUGCCCUCACGGAGUUUACAUCCUGGUAGUGGGGACAGAAAAUUUAAAAAAAAUAAAUAAGUAAAAUAUGUGUCAGUAUUAAGUACCAUGGAGAAAAAAUUAAACAGCGAUGAAAAAUAUAAAACGUAAGGAUGGUUGAAAUAUUCGGUCAGCCAGGAAAGGUGUCAUGAAGUUGAGUUAGGAAACUGACUACAUGAGAAACAUUUAAACACCUUCUUACCUUGUCAGACGGUAUUCUGAGUUCCAGAUUCAAGCAGCCUGGUUUCCAUACACAGUACCACUUUUUAUUUAUUGUGAGAAAAUUGCCUAAUUUUGUGUCUCAGUUUCUUUAUCUGUAAAAUGGGGAUAAUUUUUUUAACUAGUAGAGUUGUGAAGAGUCAAUUUAAAAACAAAACACAUUUAGUGCUUAAAACAGUGCCUGAUGUAUAAGAACUCAAUAAAUAUUAGGUUUUGUAGUUGCUUUUGUGUUUUUUUUACUUUCUAUGAUCUAAUUUCAAGAUUGUUAAAAUGGGACUCAUAAUGCCAGGCUUCACUGAAUUUUUGUAGGAAUCUCACGAGACAAGACAUAAAGAGCCCUUGGAGUUUGGAUCAUAGUAAGCACUAAAUGUAUGCUUCCUGCUCCUGUUACCAUUGUAACCAGGCAACAUUUUUGUUUUCUUAACUAUUGCAACAGUAUUUGACUUGGAACAAUAGCCAUCGGGAAUAGAAGGUUAGAUCCUGAGGACAUGGACGUACAUCCACAAUAAUCUUAGCAUAAAAGAAAAGAGAGAUAGUUAAGCUUCUCUGCACUUGAAAACAAGAGGAUGGGAGUAUUGGGAGAAACAGAAAGCAGAAGAGAAAAAGGGGAAGGAGAGAGGCACCGAGGAGCUGUUGUGAAGCUGGGGAUUUUAUAGGAUGAGGGAAGGGUAUCUAUUCGCUAAGGAUGGGAUAGUGGAGAAACAUUUUACAAAUAAAGAUGAGUCAAGUUAAAUUUGAAAUUAUUUUUGUUUCAACAUGAACUGCACUUCUGUCUCCUCAUGCCACCAAAAGUUUUAAUAAAUACAUUAUACUCACAAGUG
rnacentral:lncRNA from 1 species